rnacentral:misc_RNA from 1 species
GGACUACCGGGGUUUCUAAUCCUGUUCGCUCCCCAUGCUUUCGCUCCUCAGCGUCAGUUACGGCCCAGAGAUCUGCCUUCGCCAUCGGUGUUCCUCCUGAUAUCUGCGCAUUCCACCGCUACACCAGGAAUUCCAAUCUCCCCUACCGCACUCUAGUCUGCCCGUACCCACUGCAGGCUGGAGGUUGAGCCUCCAGUUUUCACAGCAGACGUGACAAACCGCCUACGAGCUCUUUACGCCCAGUAAUUCCGGACAACGCUCGCACCCUACGUAUUACCGCGGCUGCUGGCAC